rnacentral:rRNA from 1 species
AAUGGUAGGAAAGGCUGUCGAAAGAUAGCCGUGUUUCCCUUUUGGGAGAAAUCCUACCACAGGUGGUGCAUGGCCGUCGUCAGCUCGUGUUGUGAGAUGUUGGGUUAAGUCCCGCAACGAGCGCAACCCUUGUCCUUAUUUGCUUCCUCGUAUGAGGUGCUCUAUAAGGAGACUGCCGGCGACAAGCCGGAGGAAGGAGGGGACGACGUCAGGUCAGUAUGCCCUUUAUGCCCUGGGCUACACAGGCGCUACAGUGGCAAGGACAAUGAGUAGCGAGAGUGCAAGCUCAAGCUAAUCUCACAAACCUUGUCGUGGUGCGAAUUGAAGGUUGAAACUCACCUUCAUGAAGCCGGAAUCGGUAGUAAUGGCGUAUCAGCUAUGUCGCCGUGAAUACGUUCCCGGGCCUUGUACACACCGCCCGU